rnacentral:lncRNA from 1 species
UCUACUUGUGCCAGAUAUUCCUGGUUACCAUGCGGGCUACCAUGUGCGCGUACGUACGUACGUACCAUCGGUUUGGCAUUUCACACGCGUGUGAAAUGGGUUGUAGUCCGUCCGCAGACUGUAAAAUAGGUGGAGUGUUUUCACUUUUGGAAAACUGCAAGCCGCUUGCGAUGUUACAGUCGGGUCCAGUCAGAACGUCCCUCUGUGGGCCUUAUUCAAAUUGAACUCGGUCAGGCGGC